rnacentral:rRNA from 1 species
UACGUAGGGUGCAAGCGUUGUCCGGAAUUAUUGGGCGUAAAGAGCUCGUAGGCGGCCUGUCGCGUCUGCUGUGAAAACUCAGGGCUUAACCCUGAGCUUGCAGUGGGUACGGGCAGACUAGAGUGCGGUAGGGGAGACUGGAAUUCCUGGUGUAGCGGUGAAAUGCGCAGAUAUCGGGAGGAACACCAAUGGCGAAGGCAGCUCGCUGGGACGGUACUGACGCUGAGGCGCGAAAGCGUGGGGAGCAAACAGG